CACGUAGGGGCCAAGCGUUGUCCGGAUUUAUUGGGCGUAAAGAGCUCGUAGGCGGCUCGGUAAGUCGGGUGUGAAACCUCCAGGCUCAACCUGGAGACGCCACCUGAUACUGCUGUGGCUAGAGUCCGGUAGGGGAGCGUGGAAUUCCUGGUGUAGCGGUGAAAUGCGCAGAUAUCAGGAGGAACACCAGCGGCGAAGGCGGCUCACUGGCCCGAUACUGACGCUGAGGCACGAAAGCGUGGGGAGCAAACAGG
rnacentral:rRNA from 1 species